rnacentral:rRNA from 1 species
GUAGAGUCUGAUCCUGGCUCAGGACGAACGCUGGCGGCGUGCUUAACACAUGCAAGUCGAACGAUGAAGCGGUGCUUGCACCGUGGAUUAGUGGCGAACGGGUGAGUAAUACGUGAGUGACCUGCCCUUGACUCUGGGAUAAGCCUGGGAAACUGGGUCUAAUACUGGAUACGACCAUCAGAUGCAUGUCUUGGUGGUGGAAAGGGUUUGUACUGGUUUUGGAUGGGCUCACGGCCUAUCAGCUUGUUGGUGGGGUAAUGGCUUACCAAGGCGACGACGGGUAGCCGGCCUGAGAGGGUGACCGGCCACACUGGGACUGAGACACGGCCCAGACUCCUACGGGAGGCAGCAGUGGGGAAUAUUGCACAAUGGGCGCAAGCCUGAUGCAGCGACGCCGCGUGAGGGAUGACGGCCUUCGGGUUGUAAACCUCUUUCAGCAGGGAAGAAGCUUUUGUGACGGUACCUGCAGAAGAAGCGCCGGCUAACUACGUGCCAGCAGCCGCGGUAAUACGUAGGGCGCAAGCGUUGUCCGGAAUUAUUGGGCGUAAAGAGCUCGUAGGCGGUUUGUCGCGUCUGCUGUGAAAGCCCGGGGCUUAACUCCGGGUGUGCAGUGGGUACGGGCAGACUAGAGUGCAGUAGGGGAGACUGGAAUUCCUGGUGUAGCGGUGAAAUGCGCAGAUAUCAGGAGGAACACCGAUGGCGAAGGCAGGUCUCUGGGCUGUUACUGACGCUGAGGAGCGAAAGCAUGGGGAGCGAACAGGAUUAGAUACCCUGGUAGUCCAUGCCGUAAACGUUGGGCACUAGGUGUGGGGGGCAUUCCACGUUCUCCGCGCCGUAGCUAACGCAUUAA